rnacentral:rRNA from 1 species
ACGUAGGGUGCAAGCGUUAAUCGGAAUUACUGGGCGUAAAGCGUGCGCAGGCGGUUUUGUAAGACAGAGGUGAAAUCCCCGGGCUCAACCUGGGAACUGCCUUUGUGACUGCAAGGCUGGAGUGCGGCAGAGGGGGAUGGAAUUCCGCGUGUAGCAGUGAAAUGCGUAGAUAUGCGGAGGAACACCGAUGGCGAAGGCAGGUCUCUGGGCAUUAACUGACGCUGAGGAGCGAAAGCAUGGGGAGCGAACAGGA